rnacentral:rRNA from 1 species
UACGUAGGGUGCGAGCGUUGAUCCGGAAUUAUUGGGCGUAAAGAGCUCGUAGGCGGUUUGUCACGUCUGCUGUGAAAACUGGAGGCUCAACCUCCAGCCUGCAGUGGGUACGGGCAGACUAGAGUGCGGUAGGGGAGACUGGAAUUCCUGGUGUAGCGGUGGAAUGCGCAGAUAUCAGGAGGAACACCAAUAGCGAAGGCAGCUCGCUGGGACGUUACUGACACUGAGGCGCGAAAGCGUGGGGAGCGAACAGG